UGGGGAAUAUUGCACAAUGGGCGCAAGCCUGAUGCAGCCAUGCCGCGUGUAUGAAGAAGGCCUUCGGGUUGUAAAGUACUUUCAGCGAGGAGGAAGGCGGUAAGGUUAAUAACAUUAUUGAUUGACGUUACUCGCAGAAGAAGCACCGGCUAACUCCGUGCCAGCAGCCGCGGUAAUACGGAGGGUGCAAGCGUUAAUCGGAAUUACUUGGCGUAAAGCGCACGCAGGCGGUCUGUCAAGUCGGAUGUGAAGUCCCCGGGCUCAACCUGGGAACUGCAUUCGAAACUGGCAUGCUAGGGUCUUGUAGAGGGGGGUAGAAUUCCAGGUGUAGCGGUGAAAUGCGUAGAGAUCUGGAGGAAUACCGGUGGCGAAGGCGGCCCCCUGGACAAAGACUGACGCUCAGGUGCGAAAGCGUGGGGAGCAAACA
rnacentral:rRNA from 1 species